rnacentral:rRNA from 1 species
CUCCGGUUGAUCCCGCCGGACCCGACUGCUAUCAGAGUGGGACUAAGCCAUGCGAGUCAACGCAGCAAUGCGUGGCAUACGGCUCAGUAACACGUAGUCAACAUGCCCAGGGGACGUGGAUAACCUCGGGAAACUGAGGAUAAACCGCGAUAGGCCAAGAUUUCUGGAAUGGAUAAUGGCUGAAAUCUAUAUGGCCCCUGGAUUGGACUGCGGCCGAUCAGGCUGUUGGUGAGGUAAUGGCCCACCAAACCUGUAACCGGUACGGGCUCUGAGAGGAGGAGCCCGGAGAUGGGCACUGAGACAAGGGCCCAGGCCCUAUGGGGCGCAGCAGGCGCGAAACCUCUGCAAUAGGCGAAAGCUUGACAGGGUUACUCUGAGUGAUGUCCGUUAAGGGCAUCUUUUGGCACUUCUAAAAAUAGUGUAGAAUAAGGGGUGGGCAAGUCUGGUGUCAGCCGCCGCGGUAAUACCAGCACCCCGAGUGGUCGGGACGAUUAUUGGGCCUAAAGCAUCCGUAGCCGGUUCUGCAAGUCCCCCGUUAAAUCCAGCUGCUCAACAGAUGGGCCGCGGAGGAUACUACAGAGCUAGGAGGCAGGAGAGGCAAGCGGUACUCAGUGGGUAGGGGUAAAAUUCGUUGAUCCAUUGAAGACCACCAGUGGCGAAGGCGGCUUGCCAGAAUGCGCUCGACGGUGAGGGAUGAAAGCUGGGGGAGCAAACCGGACUAGAUACCCGGGUAGUCCCAGCUGUAAACGAUGCAGACUCGGUGAUGAGUUGGCUUAUUGCUAACUCAGUGCCGCAGGGAAGCCGUUAAGUUUGCCGCCUGGGGAGUACGGUCGCAAGACUGAAACUUAAAGGAUUUGGCGGGGGAGCA